GUUCAUUUCAAGCCUAUAAGUAUAUAUGCCGUUACUGAACACCAGCAAAUUAAGAAUCACUGGAAAACCGUUUGUUACAUGUGUGAUCCACUGCAAUAAAAUAAUGAGAAACAUCAUAUUCGUGGCAGAAGAAUUAUUGUAAACUGCGUAUUAUGAGAGUAUGCUAUUUGGAGGCAGCGAUACACUGAGGAUGCAACCAAAACGCAUUGGUUUUGGUACGAAAUUGCUAGUGUAGCGUGAAACCGACUCAAGAUUAAAAACAUGAGUUGCUCGACUUAUGAUCUCCCAGAAGAUGUUAUUAACCAAGUCGGCAAAGGAAGACCAGGGGAAACUGGAAAGGGUUCAACUUCUUCUUCAGUUAACGCAAUUGAUGAUCCUGGAGACUUCUUACAUGAUUUUGAAAUUAAGAUCGGAAGGUUGAGACACGAGUAAUUUCGAUUGAGUGGAACAUUCGAUGGCUCCGUUUACAAAUUUAAUUUUUUUUCAGUUUUUUCUAACUUUGCAUAUGUUAGACUAAUUUUGUUGUUGAAAAUAAUAAACUUACAGUACCAUUU